rnacentral:rRNA from 1 species
UAAUUGAAGAGUUUGAUCAUGGCUCAGAUUGAACGCUGGCGGCAGGCCUAACACAUGCAAGUCGAGCGGCAGCACAGAGGAACUUGUUCCUUGGGUGGCGAGCGGCGGACGGGUGAGUAAUGCCUGGGAAAUUGCCCGGUAGAGGGGGAUAACCAUUGGAAACGAUGGCUAAUACCGCAUAACCUCGCAAGAGCAAAGCAGGGGACCUUU